rnacentral:tRNA from 1 species
GGGGAUGUAGCUCAGUGGGAGAGCACCGCGUUCGCAUCGCGGGGGUCAGGGGUUCAAAUCCCCUCAUCUCCACCA